rnacentral:rRNA from 1 species
UGGGGAAUAUUGCACAAUGGGGGAAACCCUGAUGCAGCGACGCCGCGUGAACGAAGAAGGUAUUCGUAUCGUAAAGUUCUGUCCUAUGGGAAGAUAAUGACAGUACCAUAGAAGAAAGCUCCGGCUAAAUACGUGCCAGCAGCCGCGGUAAUACGUAUGGAGCGAGCGUUGUCCGGAAUUAUUGGGCGUAAAGGGUACGCAGGCGGUUUAAUAAGUCGAAUGUUAAAGAUCGGGGCUCAACCCCGUAAAGCAUUGGAAACUGAUAAACUUGAGUAGUGGAGAGGAAAGUGGAAUUCCUAGUGUAGCGGUGAAAUGCGUGGAUAUUAAAAAGAAUACCGGUGGCGAAGGCGACUUACUGGGCUCAUUCUGACGCUGAGGAACGAAAGCGUGGGUAGCAAACAGG